rnacentral:rRNA from 1 species
AUUGAACGCUGGCGGCAUGCCUUACACAUGCAAGUCGAACGGCAGCACGGGAGCAAUCCUGGUGGCGAGUGGCGAACGGGUGAGUAAUAUAUCGGAACGUGCCCAGUCGUGGGGAUAACGUAGCGAAAGCUACGCUAAUACCGCAUACGAUCUAUGGAUGAAAGCGGGGGAUCGCAAGACCUCGCGCGAUUGGAGCGGCCGAUAUCAGAUUAGGUAGUUGGUGAGGUAAAGGCUCACCAAGCCGACGAUCUGUAGCUGGUCUGAGAGGACGACCAGCCACACUGGGACUGAGACACGGCCCAGACUCCCUACGGGAGGCAGCAGUGGGGAAUUUUUGGGACAAUGGGCGCAAGCCUGAUCCAGCAAUGCCGCGUGCAGGAUG